rnacentral:rRNA from 1 species
AGAGUUUGAUCAUGGCUCAGGAUGAACGCUGGCGGCGUGGAUAAGGCAUGCAAGUCAAGCGGGUCCGUAGCAAUACGGAUACCGCGGCGAACGAGUUAGUAACACCUUGGUAUCUGCCUCCGAGUCGGGCACAACCAGUCGAAAGAUUGGCUAAUUCCCGAUAGUCUCGCAAGAGUAAAGUCGCAAGACGCUUGGAGAGGAGCCUAGGUCCUAUCAGCUUGUUGGCGGGGUAACGGCCCACCAAGGCUAUGACGGGUAGGGGGCGUGAGAGCGCGACCCUCAACGACGAAACUGAGAUACGGUUCGUACACCUACGGGUGGCAGCAGUCAAGAACAUUCGACAAUGGGCGAAAGCCUGAUCGAGCGACGCCGCGUGCAGGAAGAAGGGCUUCGGCCUGUAAACUGCUUUUGCGUGGGAAGAACUUUGACGGUACCACGAGAAUAAGGGGUUGCUAACCUCGUGCCAGCAGCAGCGGUAAUACGAGGACCCCGAGCGUUAUCCGGAAUUACUGGGCGUAAAGCGUGAGCAUCCGGUUUUGCUAGUCUCAUGUUAAAUUUCAUUGCUCAACGAUGAAACCGCGUGGGAAACGGCACAACUAGAGUGGGUAAGAGGCAAGCGGAACGUGCAGUGUAGGGGUGAAAUCCAUUGAUAUUGCACGGAACACCAAAAGCGAAAGCAGCUUGCUAGUGCUCUACUGACGGUCAAUCACUAAAGCGUGGGAAUCAAAAAGGAUUAGAUACCCUAGUAGUCC